rnacentral:rRNA from 1 species
UGGCUCAGAACGAACGCUGGCGGCAUGCCUAACACAUGCAAGUCGAACGAGACCUUCGGGUCUAGUGGCGCACGGGUGCGUAACGCGUGGGAAUCUGCCCUCUGGUACGGAAUAACUCAGGGAAACUUGAGCUAAUACCGUAUAAUGACUUCGGUCAAAGAUUUAUCGCCUGAGGAUGAGCCCGCGUCGGAUUAGCUAGUUGGUGAGGUAAAGGCUCAGCAAGGCGACGAUCCGUAGCUGGUCUGAGAGGAUGAUCAGCCACAUUGUGACUGAAACACGGACCAAACUCCUACGGUUGUCUGCAGUGGGA